UACGUAGGGGGCUAGCGUUAUCCGGAAUUACUGGGCGUAAAGGGUGCGUAGGUGGUUUUUUAAGUCAGAAGUGAAAGGCUACGGCUCAACCGUAGUAAGCUUUUGAAACUGAAGAACUUGAGUGCAGGAGAGGAGAGUAGAAUUCCUAGUGUAGCGGUGAAAUGCGUAGAUAUUAGGAGGAAUACCAGUAGCGAAGGCGGCUCUCUGGACUGCAACUGACACUGAGGAACGAAAGCCAGGGGAGCAAACGGG
rnacentral:rRNA from 1 species